rnacentral:lncRNA from 1 species
UUCAUUUAAGUCUUCGGGUAGCACCACCAGAUCUUCAACAAGGUGGAAAUUCUCGUAUUCCGUAUGUACAUGUUCCUGCGGCUCGGAUGAGUAUAGUAUUUUAUAUCGCAACGGCUAUAAACAGUUCCUUGUUCCCAUUAACAAAACAUCCCCUUUUUCUUCGCUCUUCCGGAACCGGUACAGAAAUUGGUGCUUUUUCUACUUUGUUUACCUUAGUGACUGGGGGGUUUCGGGGAAAGCCUAUGUGGGGUACCUUUCGGGUGUGGGAUGCUCGUUUAACUUCUGUAUUCAUCUUGUUCCUUAUUUACCUGGGUGCACUGCGUUUUCAAAAGCUUCCUGUCGAACCGGCUCCUAUUUCAAUCCGUGCUGGACCGAUCGAUAUACCAAUAAUAAAGUCUCCAGUCAACUGGUGGAAUACAUCGCAUCAACCUGGGAGCAUUAGCCGAUCUGGUACAUCAAUACAUGUUCCUAUGCCCAUUCCAAUCUUGUCUAACUUUGCUAACUUCCCCUUCUCCACCCGUAUCUUGUUCGUUCUGGAAACACGUCUUCCUAUUCCAUCUUUUCCCGAAUCUCCCUUAACGGAAGAAAUAGAAGCUCGAGAAGGAAUACCAAAAAAAACCUAGAAAACUCGCUGAGAUUGACGAUUCUCUCUGUGUUGCAUCCAUGGCGCUUAAUGGUUACAACAUUGGCUGGCAAAUUGGGGAAUACGGCUUUGAGUCGGGGCACCCCGCCCCGGGAAACCCCUCUUGUAUUCGUUGGCCUAACUUUCUCGUGUUAUGGUCGACAGCGUUUUUUCUCCGGGGUAUGGGAAGAGUCACUUGAGGGUUAGUGAUGCGACCUUCUGUAAAAGCAUCACGCGGGUGAACGCCCUUGAACGCGGGCAAGGCGCGAAUACAAAUACGAGACACUAAACCCGGUGUGAAACCAAUCAACAUAGCAUAAGGUGUAGGGCGGUUGUACCCCGUACCGUAUCCCCCUUCCCUGAAUUUCUUAGGCCCGAAACCCCUCAAGUGCCUCAAGUAGGUCUUGCAGUGAUUAACGGACGCCUUGAAAGUGCCGCCUUCCGGAAAAAAAUAAGGUCGACAGUUAUUGUUGGAUGUUCCAUUCCUGGGUGCUUGGGAAUAGUCGCACUGUCUGCCACUGACUCGCAUCUCGGGAGGCCUCCACGGGUCUUUCAAGCGAGCCAUUAACGACAAGGCCAGAGCUUGCAUCCGGAUCUCUCGGUACAAACCAACUCGGAAGGCAUCGGUUCAAUUCCGAUAAGGGACGAUUUUUUUUCCGGUAUGCCGCUCCGCGAGCAAGGAGCGCCGCGAGCAGAGCGAGAGAACGAAGUGGGCUUUUUUGAUGAAUGAAUUUUCACCUAUUUGUAUCUAUUUAGUGAUCAGUCCGCUAGUUUCUUUGAUCCCACUCGGCGUUCCUUUUCCAUUUGCUUCCAAUAGUUCGACCUAUCCAGAAAAAUUGUCGGCCCACGAAUGUGGUUCCGAUCCCUCCGGUGAUGCCAGAAGUCGUUUCGAUAUACGAUUUUAUCCGGUUCCUAUUUUAUUUAUUAUCCCUGAUCCGGAAGUCACCUUUUCUUCUCCUUGGGCAGUACCUCCCAACAAGAUUGAUCCGUUUGGAUCUUGGUCCAUGAUGGCCUUUUUAUUGAUUUUGACGAUUGGAUCUCUCUAUGAAUGGAAAAGGGGUGCUUCGGAUCGGGAGUAAGCACUAGUGAUAGGGCAAAGGGGGGAAGGACAUAGGAAAGAGGGAUGCCUACAUUCAAUCAAUUGAUUCGUCAUGGUAGAGAAGAAAAACGGCGCACGGACCGUACUCGAGCUUCGGAUCAAUGUCCCCAGAAGCAAGGAGUAUGCCUGCGUGUUCCGACGAGAACACCGAAAAAACCAAAUUCAGCUCUACGUAAGAUAGCCAAAGUACGGUUGAGCAAUCGACAUGAUAUAUUUGCUCACAUUCCAGGCGAAGGUCAUAAUUCGCAGGAACAUUCUAUAGUCUUAGUCAGAGGAGGUAGAGUGAAAGAUUCGCCAGGUGUGAAAUCCCAUCGUAUUCGAGGAGUCAAGGAUUUGCUGGGAAUUCCGGAUCGCAGAAGGGGCAGAUCUAAAUAUGGUGCAGAAAGACCAAAAUCGAAAUGAAUGGAAGAUGCCUCUGGAACGUCGUUUUUUAUCGGCUUUUCGGAAAGGGCGGGGCGCAAGAACAAGUCUUUCAAUCGUCCCACGGCUUCAGAUCAGGUAGAGGCAUCACUACGUAGUGGGUGGGACAAGUGUUUCAUUACGUCUUCUGAAGAACGAACCAAUCCCAUGACUUGGACUUCCUGGCCCAACCAACCGGUCCCCAGUACAGUAAGAGACUUCUUAGGCGACCCUCAACUCAGAAACGAUCAGACCAAUCCGACUCUACAAACCCCUGAACAGUUGGAGGUUUUUAUUCAAGGAGUCUUGGCGAAGCAGGAUAAACUUCAGAAACAGCCUUAUCUGGUUUACAGGAGAUCGCACAGCGCUGCUGUAGAUAAAGAACCGUAUCCUCAGGGAUACACGGUCCCAAGCUUCCAGCUCUUUGAUGGACGAUCCUAAAGAACAUUUAGCCAGAUUUGAGUCUCAGUGUGGAGAUACUGCAGCCAAUUGGAAGCUCCUGUUAAGGCCCUUCUUCCUUGACGAAAACGGCGUUUACUUGGUACACCAAUUGAGCUCCAGGAUCGGUGUCGUCCUGGGAACAAAUGUCUUACCUAUUAAAAAAAAAAGGUUCCAUGCAAUCAAGAAAUCAGUUACUAUUGAGGAUUUGCGUCGAUGUAGGCAGGAGAGGAAUUAGAAGUUUGAAGAUUCUCUUUCGCGGGACCCUCGCUCUUCAGCUUGAGGAGUCUAUCGUUGAAGACAAGCUCGUGCCGAUCUGUAUCCGUGGGCUCAACAUUGAGCUCCGCUAUGCACUGAUCCCUGCUGGGAUUACAUCGUUCACCCAACAACUCGAGCGAGCGUUAGAGUUAGAAUAGAUCGCGAGAGAGAAAGUUUUCCCUGUGGCAUCGAAGCGGACCUCUGGACAAGUGGCUGAGGCUUAUGUCGCUGAAGUCCGGAAUGAUGAUAAUAACAAUAGCAACCCUGGCCGAUUUACUAACCCAAGGAGAGACAAGCAUUGGAGGAAUAGGAAGAAGAAGUACGAUUUUUAUCUCUGAGAUACGGAGAGAUGGUUCGAUGUGAUGCUGGCGAACGGGACACUGACUCUGCCGGAAACUCAUUCUCAGACUCAGCCCGGUGAUGAGUUGAGUUCUCGUUAUUGUAGAUACCAUCGAAGGUUGAAUCAUGGGACGUCUUAUUGCAAUGCCCUGCCAUAUAUUUUUCAUGAAAGAAUUUCCAGGGGUGAGUUGAAAUAUGACAAUCAAGGAAGCCCAACGACCAUGAUCGAAACCCAGCCACUGCCGAAUCACAAUGAUGCCAACCUCCGAAACCCUCCAGUUGCAACCGUUGGGGCUAUAUCUGUUUCCCCAGUCUCAGCUUCCGAAUGGUUUCGAUCUUCCCCGUCGUCUUCUACCGAGGCAGGAAUAUACCUUAAGGCUGACAAUGAGGAGGCGUCGCCUUCUCAAACAUCUGAAAACAGAUUUGGACCGCAUUCUCCGAGGAGCAGACCAUCAGUGCCUGAUGAAGUUACGGUCUUGUCCCCAGUUGUACAUGAAGUUGAGGUAGCAGCGGUACAAACAAGAAAGCAACGGCAGACAUUGCCCGUUAAAGAAGAUAAAGGUUUUGUGGUGGUACCACCUGGACCUCAACGACCUACUGCCACCACAACGCCGCAAGAGAAUGUUCAACGGCGACAACGACCUCAAAAGGCUAUAUAUGAUGUCGCGUCUCAACUCAGGAAGAUUCCAGCCCAAAUAUCUAUGGAAUAGGUUUGUUUUUGACCUAUUCAAAAUUGUUAUUGCCAGCAACCGCGUUGGAACAUGCGUUAGCGGAGGCUGCGUUAGCCUGCGGGGAGGCUGAAGCGUUCUAUGCUUACCGGACUGAGAUGGAAGUUGAAAGGGUAGACAGAGGCCAAUAAAGACAAAGGAGUUUAGGACGAAAACAAAUGAUUGCGAUCCUGAUCGGCCACGGGUAAUCAUGGGCCGUUACUAUGACCACAAGGUUUUCUAUACUUUGAACUAUGAGACAGUACAGCGACGACGUGGCUAUGGGAUAGAAAUAGCUCUGACAUGCCAUAAGGACUUCUCACAUUCACGGAUUGCGAUGUAUAUUAUGGUGAGAUGAACCACAACAGGCCGCUGUAUAUCACGGUGAAGGCCAAAAAACUUCCAAUACCUAGAGCCUUCGUGUCAUCCAUCAACAUCAUUCCACUCUUUUUUCUUGAUUCUUUGGGCCUGCCAAGAGACGGAAUUUUACCAGAUCCUCUUCUUAUUCAUGGAGUCGGAAACAUGACGCAGAAGAGCAUCGGCUAUAUCAAGCUCGAGGUUGCUGUAGGAGGGCUGCGUGGAACUCAUCGAUUUGAGGUCGUGGACUUCAGGCCAUCGUACCAUAUGUGACUGGGAAGGCCUUGGAUCCACACGAACAAAGUCGUGCCGUCUUCCUACCACCAGUGUAACAAAUAUUCGCCGAGAGAAGGGGUCCAGCACAAGAUCAUCGCCUGAAGAAAUCCGUUUUUGGAGGAUGACAUUUCAUUUAGCAGAAGCGGAGUCUUUUUUGCCAAAGAAAAGUGCUGAUAAAGGGAAAGGGAUUGGUGAGUCCGGUCCCGUAGUACCUCCCUCGCCGUCUGCUCACGCUGCCAUCCCAAUGAAGUCCGGCACCGUAGUUCGAUCUGGUGGAGUUACCUCGAUCCCGUUACCUGUACAGAGUUCGUUUUCAUCGGAAAGGAGAGUGUUAACGUUAAGCAAGAAGAGCUACGAGUUGGACGACGGGCUAUUUCACCGACCGUCACUUCUCCUUUCUAUCUGCCGAAGACGCAAGUAGCCCAACGACAGGCUUGUGUGGAGUUGAAUGAGAACACGCAGAGGUCUUUUGGCGAAACUGGGGGCUCUUUGUCUAAAGGAAGGGCAAAGUCAACAGGCCAGUCCCAGUUUCAGAAUUGGAAGAAGCAGUAGGAGGUUCACCAUCAGAAAGGCAUGGGACAACCUUCUCUCUUAAAGCUUUCUUCGAAGAAGUCUUUCGCUUGACUUGGCUCAACGGCUUUAGUUCCGUAAAUGCUUUCGUAUGAAGCUUGAGUCAAGUCUAGUCUCAUGCAGUGAAGAUCGUCAAGCAAUCAUUGCUCGUCUCUCCGAAACCUAUUGAUAAGGAACGCGUUGAAGUGUAUUGAAUAAUAAAACCUUUCAGGUAUUUGUUAACAUAGCGUUGGACGAUUGAUUCCUUUCUUUCUCCAUGGCCUGCUUCCCAUAACUGGCCUUACUCAAACUUGCGACUUGAUUAGAGUACCUAAACUGCUUUCCGGUUAACUGCUGACUUUCUUUGCUAGCUCACCCGAAACUCUGUCUUCAGGAGGAAAGCUUGCUUGAGUACCUUACUGGAAAACAAACCGCUUGAGCUGUAACCGAAACAGAAAGGUUUGAUGAGCCGCUGCUUGCUCUCUAACUGCUCUUACCGCUUCUUUUUCUUGACCUCUGCUCACUGCUGCCAAUGCUGUGACUGCCGCCCCUAUCUCUAAAGCUGCGGAUUACAGCUCCUGACUCAACAAGUUCAAAGUCUGAAGUAUGAGUCUUGUUUGUGACAUUAAAGAAUGAACAUUCAAUUCAAAGGAAUGGGACAGACUGCUGCUUGCUAUUACUGACUGCGGCUGCCGACCGAAGAACUGAAGAUCUUCAAUCUAUGUUUGAGUGCUCUAGCGAAAGAAAAGAAUUUAGAAUGCUAAAAUGACUUCUAAAAAUAGGAUAGGAAGAUUCUUUUCCAUUUAUUUAUGAAAUUACGUAUCAAUAUACAUUCCCUUUCCGUCAACUAAAGUCUGUUCGUUUCGUCCGUCAAAAUGAAAUGGCAAUAACUCAUCUCGGGCAAGAACCAACUACUAAGCGGUCGUUCGGGCUCUAUUCCCUCGGUCAUGGCGAGGGGAAAGGGAAGGCAUACCUUUGAAAGAUUUACAGCCUAGCAAGGACUACGCUGGCGAGUGACGAUUGGCCGAGGGGAGUUCCAUCAUGUAGCUGGGCCAGUAAAAGACAAGUAGAAGCCAGUUAAAGACGAGUAGGCAGGGUACUAAGAAGCCAGUGGGGUACGUAAACGGGGACAGAUCACAUGGUUUUGUACUGGUCAGCUUUGGGCUGGCGAGUGACGAUUGGCUGAGGCCCUCGUGGUGGAGUACUCUCUGACAGAAUUGACGCUUCGCUUGGGCGCUCUAUUAUUGCCUCCUAUUCCUGAGGGGGUGAUCGAGGUUAAGCCGCGUGGCGGACUAUUCGCUUUUUUUUGGAGGGUGGGCCUUUCGUACUAUAGUAGGCUUCAGCGCACUUCAAUCUAGUGGAUUGGUUCAAUAAUAUGGGUUUGAAAUGAUCCAUGUUACGGAACCAAGACACAGCUGGGUAUAGGGCCUCCAACGCCUAUAAAUAGCAGGCAAAGGGAGACGGGGCCGAGGCAAGAAAGAUGGAUAUCGCUGGAAGACUUGAGAGAGUUGAGCAAGAAAUAGGAGAGGUGGAAAACGAGAAGCUCCAACGGGAGCAAAUCCUACAUGCCUUUUUAGAGCAUAUGCCUCCCGUCGAUCCAAUUCUCAUAGAAGAGCGUAUCAGCCUUCUCCAGAGACAAAUAAGUUUUCUCGAAGAGAGGAAGAGGGCGCUGCUCAAAGAACAGCAAGCGCUCAUUGUACGGGCGGUCACCCUCGGUGACCGUGGGGAUAAUGAAAAAGUCGUUACUGUAUCUUCCGUCUGUCUACUAAGUCGUUAUUUUAUCUUCCGUCUGUCUACUGGUUUUUCCAAGUUGUAAUUGGCUCAGAGAGCUCUAGCUCUCCUUAUUAGUAUUAUUAUGGUUAAUGGUCCGUUAUCUAAGUUGUAAUUGGCUCAGAGAGCUCUAGCUCUCCUUGUAUUGUAUUAUAAAUAAAUUUUUUUUAAUGGUCCUUUAAUAGUAUCUUCCAACGCUCAACUCACGGCAAAGAGAAAACGACCCGGUUCCAUUACUUUCCAUUUUUUUCUGGAUAAGCACGGCCGGGGAAAUGGUUUUAUACGCAAUUUCUCAGUCCUAAAACGAAUCUACGUAUUAACAAGGUGUUUACUCAUCCAACGUGGAGAAAGUGCUUUCUAUUUUCUUUAACAGGUCGAACCCUCUCUGAAGACCUUGUGACUGCUAUUGAAGACCGAAACCCCUUGGUACUGAGUGAACGAAUGAAGCGGGCUGGGGAGGUGAAAAACAACUUCUUCUUUCGACGGUCGAGCUUUGAAAAGUCUCUCAUCAAUCCACUACUUUUUUUUGUUUUCUAGCCCGGUGAUAUCGAGCCUCGAAGCUACUGCCAAACUCUGAAUCUUUCGCUUUCCUUUCCUUUUUCAGUCAGAGCAGAGUUUCUUUUCAUUCGCAAAAAACUCAGAAUUCUGAAAAUCACCCUCUACUGAGGAGUGUGUCGGUAGCCUUCGGAAUAAGUCCUACGCAUACCUACUGGCGAAUAGUUCAGUGAGUGGGUUCGGGUAAGACUCUACUUAUUGAUCUACCUAUUUAUUCCUCCCCCAGAGAAGAUAGAGCUACCUUAGUUCAUAGAUUGCUUGCAUUGACGGUCAUUCCAUUUCUUCCAUUGUUAGGCAGGUUCUGUUCCCAAUCCAACUUAAGUAUUUCGAUGUAGGUUGCGGACACAUUUCAUUCUCUUGAGCAGGGACAGGCCCUAUUCAUUUUUCAUUAAUAGAAAAAUUUGACAGGGGAUCGUUUUACUCUCUCUCAAAGAGUAGGUUUUCUACGAUUGAUCCUAUAGGCCUUUAAGAGAUAAUAGGGGCGAGAGCGAGAUGUUAAGGAUUUCUAUCUUAAUCCCCAAGUCUCUCUCAUUGAUGAAGGGGGACAUAUUCAUCCAUCAAACUCUUAGUACGCUAAUGUUAGUUGACCCAUCAAACGAACCCAACCUUCUAUUUUAGAUAGAUAGAUGUUGAGCUUAAAUCGUUUCAUUGGGAUCAGUAGAUGGGAAUAUAGACCAGUGGCUCCUUCGUGGAGUGCUUACGCACGGAACGAAGCUAAGGGAGGCGAAGGCCACUAAGCCGUAGCUAGCAGUGUAUUUGACUCUAUUGGGGCCCCUCACCCCUAUUUUUUAGUAAAGCUUGGAUGCCGAUCAGUGGCCUAUUUACCGAAUCCUGAUUCUUUUGAGUCCUAUUGUUGCAAACGAAUAAGACGGUGCUGAUUCCGAUGUAUUUGAUUUCUAUGACAUUGAGUCUACCUUUUCUUUUUUCUUGUAGAUGACCUCUUGUACAGUCUUUUUUCAGGCAUUCAAACUAACCGAUUUCAUCUUGAUUGAAAUCCUGUCGAUUAUACCAAACCGUUCUUCCAGCGAAGUAGUGUAAUUAGAGCCUUCUUCUUCUGUUCCAAUCAAGUAUCUCAAGAAGCGAGCGAGCGUGUUGAGGUAGGGGAAUCCGAAUAGCGCGUUAUAGUCUUGACCCGAAUGCGUUCUUUAAUUUCUGACCUUUCGCCCCUGGCUCUGUCUCAUACGGUAUACAUACUUUCGUUUAUCGAAUCCCUGUUAAGGUUCUCUAUGCCCCCAGACAUUGAUUGCUAUACGGAAUGUAGGAUCAACUCCUUUAUUAUUAUUAGUAAAGUAAGAUAGGGCGAGAGAGGAACGAACUGAACCAAGACUCGAAGACAGAAAACGAGAGUGAAGGUCCUUUUUCUCGUUGACUGGCCCUUGUUGCACUUACUUCAUCCUUCUGUUUACUUCACUCUUGCUGAACUUAGUUUACCGCCCGCUUCUUUCCUUGCGGGUCUGAUUGAACUGAACUACUCGGGACCACUGCUCGCCUGACAGCUUUGGCUGCUCAACCCGAUACCACCGCUUCUCGUACCUUACUACUACUAUCUAUAAAGCUGCUCUACCUGGCACUCACUGCUCAUUGCCUUCUUUCUUGUAGACUGGUAAGAUGAACGAGAGCCUGUGGCUUUUCGACUUUCUCGGCAUGAUCUUGCGACUUUUGGAGCCUACCUUUAAGUAAGCGCCUGAAUCAAUUCAACAAAAAGAGGUCGACAUCCCCUAGUUGGGCUGUCUUCGAGCAAGCUCUUAGCUUUCAUCGUGAGUGAGAGAGGAAUUGAGGCUGAUCCAGCUAAGGUGAAAGCCAUUGUAAAUCUAUGUCGUCACCUCGUAACCUCAAAGAGUUGCGUAGUCUGCCGGGCCGGUUCCAGCCUUUGAUCUAAAAAGCGAAAACUCUAUGUCAAUCCUUUUCCCGUCAAGACGCAAACUUUGUUUGGAGGCCGAAGCACAAAGAAAAGCCCCCCUCUUGCUUUGUCUGCCUCCCUGUUUACCCCCAUAUCCCCGCUGCUUGGGCGUCCCUGUAGAAAGGAAGUCAACUCAAAACGAAGCGAAAACUACUGCUUACUGCUUUGGCCGCUACGAAAAGAGGAACCACAACUUAAAGCUUACUAUGAUUGGCCCCUUCAACAAGCCCAACUCGACAAGAUGAAGGCGUUUCGCCCCGUAUCUCACUGUUAGGCUUACCCUUUAAUUUAAAAGGAACUCAAAACAACAAGUAGCUUAAGGCAGCACAAGACCGUCGACUUUCAUUCCCAACAAGACCCGCACUUCCCGCUAAGAAAAGAGAAGCAACCCCCUACAAAAAACUACUGCUUAUUGCUUUGGCCGUAGAAGAGGAAGAACAAUAGUCUGGUUGCGCUUCGGGACGACUUCCCCUACCACUGUGAAAUAGCGCCCUCUUCUUCUUCGUCAAUGGUCCCCGGGUUUCCCACUUGUUAAGGACCUUCUAAGCUCGGUCCCGGUUUGGAUUAGACUACCCAACCUGAGGCUCAACUGGUGGACUCCGACGAUCAUCGGAAUUAUAGCGAGUUCCGUCGGCAAACCGUUGUAUAUGGACGAGCUCACGGUGUCGAGGUCGAGACUGACGUAUGCAAGAGUUUGCGUUGAGAUUGGUGUGGAUUCCCUUGAUGGCAUAGGGGCAAGAGAGUCUAUCGUAGUUUGGAUUCCACAGUGCUCGUACACCCAAGGCGCUGUAAGCGAAGCCUUUCUUGACUUGAGGUAAUCAUCAGAGCUGUAGUUGGGAUACACCCUGGGAAGCACCAUGUGUGUGUUCCCGGUGUCUCGUCUUCUUGUCCACUUGCAGAGAAGACAUAGCAACCUCGUCUUUCUCGACCCCCCGAGGGGGUAGGUAGUAGGGUCCCCCCAAUGCGUUGAAGCUCACGUACUACUCCCACGUGUGGUGACAGGUCUGCAUCGAUGGCUAGUGAACACCACAAGGGCUUUAUUUAGUAGUUUAGGCAGUCCAAGUGACGACACCAACGCUGACCAUCCCUAUCGCAUUAGAUAGACAGGCAGACCUGCCCGUGAAAACAAGCAGGCAGGAAGCCUCUACGCGGCGUACGUAGUCCUGAAUGAAAGCAUCGGUGUCGGGUUUGAUUCAAAAGCAGCGGUUAAGGUACGCGGCAGUGAGGGAAUAUGGUGACAGCGGUUCGACUUAAUCUUUCCUUUGAAUUUGAAAGUAAGAGAUCCAGUCGAACUAAGAUUAUUAGCUGUUCUCCUUGCUUCGACCUUACUUAAUAGGGCAACAUAGGGCGGCUAAUGCACAACAUCGACUUGACUUAGUGACGACAGGAGAACACCUCUUAAAGGACUAGCCUGACCCGGGAUGAAACACCUUCUUUCCCGCCUUUCGGUAAGUAAGUGAAUAUCUCUUUCCUUCCCUUUUAGCCUCUGUGUAGCUCUAGAGCAACCUUAACUUGAUCUCAAGGAUGGGAUUCAUCAAAGGGAUUGAGGACAUCCCACUGCCGCCCGCAUUCUGGGAUUGCUGAAAGUCUGGUUCUAACGUAGGAUUUUUCAACAGGAAAUUCUUUGUUUGAAUGCUGUCCUUUCGCCGUCUUUCUUUCUCUAAAACAAUAAGUUCAUAUAUGCAUAAUACCAAAUAUAUUAUUUUCGCAAUUUGUUGGCUUACUAUCGCUCCUCUGGUACAGCAGCCUGUGCCCCGAAAGCUCGCACAAAUUGAGCCUCGCUGCCACACCAGGUCAUCAAGCUUUUGGUGAAGUUUUCACGCUGCUCAUUUAAGUUUACGGGUCUGUAUAGUCAACCCACUUGAGAAGGGCUCUAGAAGAGAGAGCUCUUGCCACGCAGCUAUAAGACACCUUGAUAGGGGAACUAGAGCACGUCUUUCAUCGCUUUUUUUUUUCAUAAGAGAAAGAGGCUCCUAGACAAAGCUGAUAGACCAAAGGGGAAAGACGUAGGAGACAAAGGAGACCUUGUUGGUAGGUCUUUAUGUCUCUCAAAGGACUGACAAUGCGUAGUCAAAGGCAAGCCGCGUAUGGAUUGAUCCCUGAUUCUGUUCCUUUUUCUUGGUCUUCUUUCCAUCUCACAACUUCCACUUCUUAAGCCGACCUUGCCUGCUGGAGGUAUGAUUCCGAUCUUUGUGAAUCGAAUUUGAUCUUUUGUCUUCAAGUGAGGGCGGUGGUUGGGGAAGGAAGCUUACGAUUUUUUUAGUGUGUGAGGUGGCCCCGAGAGCUGAACCAAAGCCGGCCGUUGCGAGACCAGGAGCUUUAACAGUUGCUACUUAGACUAUGUGUUCAGAUUAUGCUAUUCUAUUAGUAGCUUUCGGUCUCGAUUCACCCUUGCCUCUACGGGAUCAACUACUACUUCGCUUAGGCAAAAGAUUGACUAAGUAUGUAUCUGUCUACAUGUGCCUCCGUCUAUGUUCCCCCUUCCCCGGAAAGGUGAUUAUACGUAUAGUAUAAAAAACCUAGAGAAAAAAACUCAAAAAGAAAGAAGAGAAAGAACUGGGAGUUGGCGCCUACAUAACUGGUUGCUUGCUUACCAAGCCAUCCUGGCAAGCUCCUCCAGUUCGAUUAUUAUUCUUGACUUGACUUAUUAUUAAGAAAACUACUCACUAUCCAAAUGAAAGACGAUCUAGAAUCUACCCAAGAAGAUAGAGAGUCCCACAUAACCGGACGUGAAGGUCUCCCCUCAUCCGGCUCCGUCCCGGAAUCAGGACCUCCCCUUUCCUUUGACCAACGUCGAACCAACCUGUCCUCCAUUUCUCUUCCAAGCCAAGCGCUAGUUGCCCCGCGAAAAAAAAUUUCGGAGGAUGUCUUUUAGCCCUUCUCUCUUUAGUUCUAAAAAGAACUUCCUCCAAUUUUGCCUUUGUAUCUCUUUUUGUAAGUGGAUGCUCUGCAAUUGCUUGUCUUUUACUCGCCUUUCCUCGUCCCACCAAUCCUUUAGCCGCCCUUCCCAAGUUUGAAGUUCCUCCCGGGCCUCCUGUAACAACCUUUCUGUCUCCCGCAGCUCUGAAGAAGAGGCAGGCUCCGGCUCAGCAGCCGGGGGGAGGUUGAGAUCGGGAAGCGGUCGGUUCGAAGGGCCGACACCGCUUCCACCGCCUCCGAUAGAAAGAGGAGUUCCGUCCAUUGCAGAAAGUAUCCAAUCCACCCAUUCAAAUAAUGGAAGAAAGAGGGUAAAGUCCCUAAAAAGAAAAAUGAGAAUGAAAUAAAUUAAGUAGGAACCGAUACGGAUCAAAAAUUUGAAAAACAAAGAUUAUUUUCUCUUUUAGAUAAGAUGAUAAAUUAUAAAUAGAUAUUACAUUUGAUUCAUGAUUUCUGUCAAUUACAAGCGAAGGACGAUAAUGGAAAUGAUAUUCAAUAUUUCGGCAUUCCCGCCGGUGGGAAUUUUUUCAGAAGCAUUAUUUCAUAUCUAUUUCUCUAUCUUUGACCAUGAGUUCACAGCUUAGGAUCAGAAGGAACCCAUCCCAUUUUUCAUUAAAGUAAUGGUCUACGACUCCGCAGCUUGCUUAGGAUAGGGGAGCUUCUUUGUUAUUUUUGUUUGACUUUUAAGAGAAGGAUCACAAGCUCUAGUCCAAAGCUAAACGGCAUAUUUAUUCAUCUGCACCUGAAAGGGCUUCAUGAGCAAGAGCUUAUUUUUACGCUUCUUCAAAAAAGCAAUUCUCUCUCCUCUGGCAUCACUUUACUACCUUUAGAUAAAACAGUUCCCGCAGAAGACAAAGCAGACUCUCGGAUGGCACUUGCUUUCCCAACCGUAACGGGAUCAGAUUCUUUAUAAAAGUGACCACCUCUUCUUCACAUAAAACCAUUCGCUCAGAAUCGACAACUGCAGCCCUUCCCCAAUGCUCUUAUUCCUACUUGCGGAUUCUCUCCAUCUAGGAAAGAAAGGGCCUUAAUCAAGUUAAGCUUUUCUUUCCUAGAUGAUUCGAUUCUUCUUAGCUUGGUCAUUCGAUUAAGAUUCUUUCGAUCGAGAAAGAGAAAAAGAACUCUUAUUCAUCCGGAAGUGACUGAACUAGCCUUUUUUUCUUAAAAAAGCGCUGUCGCACCUUCACUCUUUGUAUUUGUCGGCCUUACUAGCGCUACUGAUAAUAUCGGCGUAAGGACUGUUUAUCGGAUACUUCUAUCUUUUUGGGAGGGGGGCCUAAGGAUUCGUCUUCUAUAACAGCUUUUUCAACCGGAAGUACAGUAAGAGGAAUAGCCUCUUAUCUAGCCUUUUUCCCGGUUUCUUGAUUGUUGCUACUUUGAUUUAGCCCGAGCCGGUGUCGGGGCCAGCGUCUAUUAAGAAGGGGAUAGCUGGCUUAUUUCGCUCCUAAAUCCAUUUUUCCGGAAUGACUUUGAAUACCGAUACGGGACCACCUUACCAAAGAAAAUGCAACUGAUUCAAUAGGACCGGUUAUGAACCCAAGAGCGGAUAGGAGUACUCAUACUCAAGGACCGGAAGCUCUCACAGCGUCAAGGCAAAGAAUCACUCCUAUUGGAAGAAGAGCGUUUACGAUCAGAGCUAGAAGAGUGGGAGGGAAUGAAAUAGCAAUAGCAGCUACUUCUGUGUGUGGCUAUCUUCUCCUAUUGAUUAACGUCCUUCAAAGAGCGUAUUCUAUUCCUUCUGUCCGUGGGUGUGGGACUAGUGCAAUCAUUCCCUUCCUCACAGCUCCUUCUUCUUCUUCAUCACCAGGAAUUGAUUCAAUUGCUAUUUCCAAAAAGAGUUUCUUCUUUCACAACAACCAUGGCAUGAGAUGCUUAUUAUAGGAUUCAUCUUUUUCACUCACAAUCAACAGGAAAGGACAGUGUGGCAUACUAUUAUAUACGAUGAAUGUGCAGCUAGGAGAGCAGCUACUUCUGAACUUUCUAACUUUCAGCUAGCUGACUGGUUUACUACUGGCUUUCAACCCUUGGACAGCUAUCCUUGGCAUACGUGCUACUGGCCCGCCUACUGAACUCCUACUGUCCUGCUACCAAGCAUUCUCUCUUUACUCGCCUAAGGGUGCACUAAGAAAGAUUGCUACAACGACAAAAGGAAAGAGUAUAUACACCUAUAAAUCGUAGACCGGAACUGCCCUCGCCUACCUGCACUGACUUCCUUGCCUUACGAAAAGAAUUUCAAAAGUUUCAUUUUCCCCGUCUUUUUGUCCUCAAUUACUUUUUCCUUCGGCAACGAACAUUUCAAUCUAAAAAGUUUAUCAAACCCCGGGAUUUUUGGCAUCAAAAGACAGAUAUUAGUUAUAAGAAAUCCCCGAUUGGAUAAGGCAGAGCGAGGGGAAGAGCAUGAAAGACAGACAGGAGCCCGAGCAUGUAAGCGCUAUGGACAGCUAGCCUUGCACAAGAGACAGGAAAGAGGCUGACUAGUACCGAGUUCGCUGGUCAUUCCAGGCUUAAUCUUAUGGUGAGUUCUAGGGAAGGCCUAUAAAGCUCUCAAGAUACAAUAAAUAGAGACCGGUGGCAUCUGACUUUCAGUUGAAAUAAAGUCAAGACAAGAAGCUGACGGGGCUGACUGCAGGCCCACUAAGAUCGGAAUGGAAUCUGAUUUUAUUGAGCAGCGCCUGUUUCAAAGCAGAGGAAGGUCUUAAAAAGUCCUAUGUAUGCUUAGUGGGAACGGGAACCCCAAGGGCAAAUGCCAGCCCAGCUGACUAUUGAUUGAAAUAAAAGAAAAGAGUUAGCAAGUCUGAAUCUGAGUUCAGGCUCUUUCUUAGUUCUUUUUACUCUUCCUUUUUCUUAGGUUUUCCAAGGGCUGCUAGAAUGGCGUUUCCACCAAUCGAUAUAGGAUUGGGGAAUCUUUUCUUGUCUGAAAAAGCUCAAUGGUCAGUAAUGGUCUGAAAGGAGGUUAG